AUCGCUGAUUAUAAGGGAAAUGAAAAUCAAAACUACCAUGAGAUACCACCUCACACCAGUCAGAAUGGCCAUCAUUAAGAAAUCCACAAAUAACAAGUGCUGGAGGGGGUGUGGAGAAAAGAGAACCCUCCUCCUCUGCUGGUGGGAAUGUAAACUUGUACAGCCACUAUGAAGAAUUCAUUUUAUUAGCUACAUGAUAUUACUUCCAAUGGAUAUGUACCAUACUUGUCUUAACUUUCCAUGUAUUUUUUUUCCCUUGAAAAACUUUAUCUAGGCUUUUUGUCCUGGAGACCUGAGAAAUUAUUUUAUGAGUAGCUGUCUUGUAAAUCCAGUAGCUGUUCUCCUAGUCUCUCUAUUCAUGUCUGCAUCAUCUGAUUAAGGACAGAGGCAACACAUCCACCAAAGGCUUUGUGGAAAUGACAGACCCAUCUUCUCUUGAAUGAGGAGCAUAAAUGCAGAUGUAUAUUUUCCAUCAAAUCAUAUACUACAGGAGUCAAUAUAGCAUGGUGGUUAGAAACAUGGGUUGAAAAUCAGAUAAAUAUGGGAUUGGAUGACUUGUCCAUCAUUUUCAUAAGUGAUCUAUGGCAAAUUUCUUACACUCUUAAGUCCUGGUAUCCAACAAGUUAAGCCUUUAUUGUGGGGCUGUUAGGUUGAUAUAAAGUACAUGUCACAGCAACUGGCCUACAGUAGUCACACAAUAAACACAUGAUUAGUGAAUGAUUGUUAUCAUAUUGUUGUUGUUAUUACUGAUAUUACCAUCUAUGCACAUAUCUUGAAAUCAUAGGUUUUUCACUCAUCAUCAAAUUUCCCAGUUUACUUCCUGAAAUUCUUGAAUGCUCUCAGGCAGCAUAGUUAAUUAAGGCAUGCAAUAUAGUGGGAAGAAUGUGGUCUCUGAAGCCAGAGACAUGUGGGAUCAAAUCCCAGGGCCACUACAUACUAGUGCUAUAAAACAUUAGCCAAGUUUUAUCACUGCCUCCCAAUGCUUUCAUCUCUAAAAUGAGGAGCAGAAUGUCUAUGUUGCAAUAUUUGGGGAAGAUGUGAGUAGUAUAUGAAAAGCACCUUUUGCAAAUUAGGUAGGUACUCAGAUUUUAUUAACAAUGUGACUAUUUCUAGCCAUAUACCAUUCAUUCAGCCAAAUUGGAAAGACAGUGCAUCUAUUUCCAGUGUGUCUAUAGCCUCUGCGCUUAUUCUGCCUGUAAUCCCCAAUCUGCUUUCAUCCUCACUUUGACUGGAGUGGUCAAUGCCCUUGUUUGGCCAUUCAAAACUGGCCCCUAAAUACUGAACUCUUCCCAGCUAUUCUACCUCCAUGACUUGGCCAUAGUGCUCUUUCUCCCAGGAAUAUUUACUUUUAAACAUAAUCUAUAGUUGGGACCUCAGGGUUUUUUUCUCUUGCUGAAAGAAUCCAGCAGCCUUUUGAGAGUGAUGUUUGUGUAGAGAUAUGGAAGACUCUAUGCUGAUCUGAAAAUCAAACUACACAGACAUAAUUCUGAAAGUUCUCUCCCAAGAAAAAUUGACCCAAAUUACCUAAAAAAAUCUUAAGAAAAUUAGAGAUGGUACUCCGGUUCCCAUUUUGUACAAUCCAUGAAGAUUGUGGUGUUAGCCUUGGGUCCAAAGUACUAGACUCUGCCCAUAAAGGCUUCUUCCUUAAGAACUAAGUAGCAAAUCAUCUUUCAGCUCUUUCUGAGAGGUUGCACGGUAAAGAAUUCAUAGACAUUGUAGUCUGUUACCUGGUUCUGACAUUAUCAGGAGACAGAUGGUUUCUUUGCUCUAGUCACUGAAAGUCACCCUUUGACAUGAAUGUUCAUAUACUGCAUUAAUUCUAUUGAUAAUGCAUUCUUCCCUUCACUCUGAUCAGAGUUGGGGGAACAAAGACUGAUGAUUCAUGGUUGCCUUCUGAAUCUAGUUGACACAGUGAUGGUGAGGUCAAGUCCUCAUUACAACCAGACUGUUUCUAGGCUAUUUUCUUUGACUGUUGUAGUUGUUUAUGUUUCUGAGAGUACACUACUUGUUGUAAAGAAUUCAGCUUUAUAAUAAUGUUGGAUAGGCUAUGGUGUAUCCCUACCUUCUCCUUUAAAAACUUAUAGAAAUUUUUAGAAAUAUUGAUUUGGAUUAGUAAAUAAAUUUCUCCUAGGUUGUACUAGAGAUCCUUAAAAGAUUAGAAUUCCUUUUAAAAAUUGCAUUUGGCUUUUAGGCUGUACUUCUCUGAAUGUGUUGUCAUGGAGCAAGUAACAUGGAGCCUUGGGAUUAUUAGGGUUAAACUUGGGUGUUGAACAAGACAUGAUGUAAGUCUCAAAGAGGCUGUCUUUGGAGUAACUAGUUCAUUACCUCUAAGCCACAAUGGGAACUCCUUUCUUAUCUUUGUAAUCAAUCAUGUUUCUGGCACUAAGGUACUAACUGGACAUACAAGAAUAAAACAACAUACAGAAUGCCUUCCCUCAGGAUACUGUCCCUCAAGAGCACAACAGACCAAGGACUAACUAAAGGGGUGAACCUAAAACCAGGUUCCCUGUGUUAUGAUUUUGGUCCCACCAAUUUCUCACUGUAGCACUUGGGAUAUUAAAUCUCUCUUGGCCUCAUGUUGUCCCUCUAUAGCAUGAAGAUCAUGAUAGAGUUAAUAAAGAGGAUUCUAUUUCAUCAUGCAUGUAUACCAAGGACACAGUCCUGCAUCGAAUAAACACCAAAAUUCCAUAUUUUUUUUAUGAGAGGACCUGUAUCACCCAAAAACCAAUAUCAUAUUCAGGAGUUUAACAAACCAAUAUUAUGAGGUGGUUUAUAAAGGACCAAGAGGCUAACCUAAAAUUUAUGUUGUUAACCUACUUGAGCUUUCAAACAGUUAAAGUGAGUUUCUUAGCUUAUAUGCUAUCACUGGGGUAAGUUUCCUGGUAGAAUUUCUCUUUAUACAAAUUUAUUCUCUUGACAAGGAAAAAACCUUAUUUACAACACUGUAAAUCAACUCUAAUGUAAAAAAAUAAAAA
ensembl:lncRNA